AAGCGACACCGCGAGGUGAAGCAAAUCUCGAAAAGACGUCUCAGUUCGGAUCGCAGGCUGCAACUCGCCUGCGUGAAGUCGGAAUUGCUAGUAAUCGCGGAUCAGCAAGCCGCGGUGAAUACGUUCCCGGGCCUUGUACACACCGCCCGUCACACCAUGAGAGUCGGGAACACCCGAAGUCCGUAGUCUAACCGCAAGGGGGGCGCGGCCGAAGGUGGGUCCGGUAAUUGGGGUGAAGUCGUAACAAGGUAUC
rnacentral:rRNA from 1 species